rnacentral:rRNA from 1 species
GACGUAGGGGGCGAGCGUUGUCCGGAUUUAUUGGGCGUAAAGCGCGCGUAGGCGGCUCGUUAAGUCGGGUGUGAAAACCCGGGGCUCAACCCCGGGCCUGCAUCCGAUACUGGCGGGCUCGAGGCAGGCAGGGGAGAGUGGAAUUCCUGGUGUAGCGGUGAAAUGCGCAGAUAUCAGGAGGAACACCGGUGGCGAAGGCGGCUCUCUGGGCCUGUCCUGACGCUCAGGCGCGAAAGCCAGGGGAGCGAACGGG